AUGCUCACUUUGGCAGCAUAUAUACUAAAAUUGGAAUGAUACAGAUUAGAAUGGCCCUUCAACAAAGAUUACAUGCAAAUUUAUAAAGUAUUCUGUAUUUGC